GGGGUUGUGGCUCAAUGGUAGAGCGCUUGCCUAGCACGUGUGAGGCACUGGGUUCAAUCCUCAGCACCA
rnacentral:tRNA from 1 species